CAUUCUGUGCUACACAGCAAGAGAGCAGUAAGUUAUCAGACAUAGGGACUGAAGGGGAAGAUGAAGAUAGCCUUCUCAUUCCAUAAGAAGUGGGAAGUGAAGCAGCAAAGAAGACAGGAGGACUGAUUCAGGAAGAUAACACAGCAGCUUACAACAUGGAGGACAAGAGAGAUCCUUAAAGGUCUGGACCUUUUUGAGAGAAACACUGUAAAGUACAGCGGGUGGCUGGAUAUAAUCUAGACUUGGCCCCAUAUUCUGGGAAUCCAAAUUAUUGCGCUUGCCUGUCCCUGGAAGCAAUGAAGAACUCCUCUUGGCCCAUGAACUGCCUCGUAUUGCACCAGAUUAAAAGCAUGAAACAGCAUGGAGAAACACAGGAAAGCUUGUCUCUGCAGUCAGGCAAAGAUGAGGACAUGAAGAUGUAUAACUGUCCCAGGUGUGAGAAUAGUACAGUUUACCCCCUCAGGAUUUGUAACAGGUUUGCCUGAAGGAGAAUGAAGUAGGGUAAGAUUAGAGAAAGAACCUUGGCAUUUCUUCAUUGUGCAUUUUCAGCGUGGUAGU
rnacentral:lncRNA from 1 species